AGUGAACGCUGGCGGUAGGCCUAACACAUGCAAGUCGAACGGCAGCACAGUAAGAGCUUGCUCUUACGGGUGGCGAGUGGCGGACGGGUGAGGAAUACAUCGGAAUCUACUUUUUCGUGGGGGAUAACGUAGGGAAACUUACGCUAAUACCGCAUACGACCUACGGGUGAAAGCAGGGGAUCUUCGGACCUUGCGCGAUUGAAUGAGCCGAUGUCGGAUUAGCUAGUUGGCGGGGUAAAGGCCCACCAAGGCGACGAUCCGUAGCUGGUCUGAGAGGAUGAUCAGCCACACUGGAACUGAGACACGGUCCAGACUCCUACGGGAGGCAGCAGUGGGGAAUAUUGGACAAAGGGCGCAAGCCUGAUCCAGCCAUACCGCGUGGGUGAAGAAGGCCUUCGGGUUGUAAAGCCCUUUUGUUGGGAGAGAAAAGCAGCAGGUUAAUACCCCGCUGUUCUGACGGUACCCAAAGAAUAAGCACCGGCUAACUUCGUG
rnacentral:rRNA from 1 species